AAACCAACCGGGAUUGCCUUAGUAACGGCGAGUGAAGCGGCAAAAAGCUCAAAUUCGAAAUCUGGUACCUUCGGUGCCCGAGUUGUAAUUUGGAGAGGGCAACUUUGGGGCCGUUCCUUGUCUAUGUUCCUUGGAACAGGACGUCAUAGAGGGUGAGAAUCCCGUGUGGCGAGGAGUGCGGUUCUUUGUAAAGUGCCUUCGAAGAGUCGAGUUGUUUGGGAAUGCAGCUCUAAGUGGGUGGUAAAUUCCAUCUAAAGCUAAAUAUUGGCGAGAGACCGAUAGCGAACAAGUACAGUGAUGGAAAGAUGAAAAGAACUUUGAAAAGAGAGUGAAAAAGUACGUGAAAUUGUUGAAAGGGAAGGGCAUUUGAUCAGACAUGGUGUUUUGUGCCCUCUGCUCCUUGUGGGUAGGGGAAUCUCGCAUUUCACUGGGCCAGCAUCAGUUUGUGGCAGGAUAAAUCCAUAGGAAUGUAGCUUGCCUCGGUAAGUAUUAUAGCCUGUGGGAAUACUGCC
rnacentral:rRNA from 1 species